CAGUCGCCGCGGGAAUACGUAGGUGGCAAGCGUUGUCCGGAAUUAUUGGGCGUAAAGGGCUCGCAGGCGGUUUCUUAAGUCUGAUGUGAAAGCCCCCGGCUCAACCGGGGAGGGUCAUUGGAAACUGGGAAACUUGAGUGCAGAAGAGGAGAGUGGAAUUCCACGUGUAGCGGUGGAAUGCGUAGAGAUGUGGAGGAACACCAGUGGCGAAGGCGACUCUCUGGUCUGUAACUGACGCUGAGGAGCGAAAGCGUGGGGAGCGAACAGGAUUAGAUACCCCAGUAGUCCCUGUCUCUUAUAC
rnacentral:rRNA from 1 species